rnacentral:rRNA from 1 species
AUACGGAGGGGGCUAGCGUUGUUCGGAAUUACUGGGCGUAAAGCGCACGUAGGCGGCUUUGUAAGUCAGAGGUGAAAGCCUGGAGCUCAACUCCAGAACUGCCUUUGAGACUGCAUCGCUUGAAUCCAGGAGAGGUCAGUGGAAUUCCGAGUGUAGAGGUGAAAUUCGUAGAUAUUCGGAAGAACACCAGUGGCGAAGGAGGCUGACUGGACUGGUAUUGACGCUGAGGUGCGAAAGCGUGCGGAGCAAACAGGAUUAGAAACCCGAGUAGUCC